AAACCUGAGAAACCCAAAAGUUCGAAUGGAGAGAUUCAUCGUCAGCGACCCUGUGCUCUUUUGCGGUUCGCGAUGCCUGGGACUCCGGUCCCGCGGCACGUGUCCGUAUGAUUUAUAUGCUAGGAGUCGUCGUCGUGCACUUCUCCCCUAGUAGGACGUCGCGACCCGUUGGGUGUCGGUCUACGACCUGGGUGGGCGCCUGUCAUGUGUUACGCUUCACGGCGUCAUGUGGCAGACCCCCGGUUGUCUGACCAGCUGCUCGGCGGUACUCGCACGGUAUCGAGUCGCAAUUUGAACUGCGUCCGGCCCGCCGCAAGCGAGGCCAGUGUUUCCCGGAUGUACGGACUUAGCGCCGUCGCCGGGCCUGGCCAGCUGUUGGCCGGCGGUGUCCUGGGACUGACUCUAUAUACCGGUUGGCGACGCUACUGCUUUGGGUACUUUCAGGACCCGUCUUGAAACACGGACCAAGGAGUCUAACAUGUGCGCGAGUCAUUGGGAUCUGUUAAGCCUAAAGGCGCAAUGAAAGUGAAGGUAGGCCUUGCGCCAACCGAGGGAGGAUGGGCCGCGUCACGAUGCGGUCCCGCACUCCCGGGGCGUCUCGUUCUCAU
rnacentral:rRNA from 1 species